GUGGUCAAGUUUCUAAGAGCAAACGGUGGAUGCCUUGGCAUCUGGAGCCGAAGAAGGACGUAGAAAUCUGCGAUAAGCCUCGGGGAGCUGAUAAUCGAGCCCUGAUCCGAGGAUUUCCGAAUGGGGAAACCCCGCUGGGCGCUUUUGUGACCUGGUGACUCCCGCCUGAAUAUAUAGGGCGGGUAGAGGGAACGUGGGGAAGUGAAACAUCUCAGUACCCACAGGAAGAGAAAACAACAUGUGAUUCCGUGAGUAGUGGCGAGCGAAAGCGGAUGAGGCUAAACCGAUCAUGUGUGAUAGCCGGCGGGCGUUGCAUGGUCGGGGUUGUGGGACACGUCACUCAGUUCUGCCGGACUGGGGCGGUUACAGCGCAUCAUAGUCGAACCGGUUUGAAAGCCGGGCCGUAGUGGGUGCCAGCCCCGUAGACGAAAUGGUGUUAUGGCCGGAUGUGUAUCCCAAGUAGCACGGGGCCCGAGAAAUCCCGUGUGAAUCUGUCAGGACCACCUGAUAAGCCUAAAUACUCCCAGAUGACCGAUAGCGGACAAGUACCGUGAGGGAAAGGUGAAAAGUACCCCGGGAGGGGAGUGAAAUAGUACCUGAAACCGUUUGCUUACAAACCGUCGGAGCCUCCUUAGUAGGGGUGACGGCGUGCCUUUUGAAGAAUGAGCCUGCGAGUUAGUGAUAUGUGGCGAGGUUAACCCGUGUGGGGCAGCCGUAGCGAAAGCGAGUCUGAAUAGGGCGUUUGAGUCGCAUGUUCUAGACCCGAAGCGAAGUGAUCUAUCCAUGGCCAGGUUGAAGCGACGGUAAGACGUCGUGGAGGACCGAACCCACUUCAGUUGAAAAUGGAGGGGAUGAGCUGUGGAUAGGGGUGAAAGGCCAAUCAAACUUCGUGAUAGCUGGUUCUCUCCGAAAUGCAUUUAGGUGCAGCGUUGCGUGUUUCUCGCCGGAGGUAGAGCUACUGGAUGGCCGAUGGGCCUCAACAGGUUACUGACGUCAGCCAAACUCCGAAUGCCGGUGAGUGAGAGCGCAGCAGUGAGACGGUGGGGGAUAAGCUUCAUCGUCGAGAGGGAAACAACCCAGACUACCAACUAAGGUCCCUAAGCGUGUGCUAAGUGGGAAAGGAUGUGGAGUUGCAUAGACAACCAGGAGGUUGGCUUAGAAGCAGCCACCCUUGAAAGAGUGCGUAAUAGCUCACUGGUCAAGUGAUUCCGCGCCGACAAUGUAACGGGGCUCAAGCACACCACCGAAGUUGUAGAUUUCGCACACUCGACAAGCCUUCGUGGUUCAGUCGUGCGGAGUGGUAGGAGAGCGUCGUGUGGCGAGUGAAGCGGCGGAGUGAUCCAGCCGUGGACGCUACACGAGUGAGAAUGCAGGCAUGAGUAGCGAAAGACGGGUGAGAAACCCGUCCUCCGAAAGACCAAGGGUUCCAGGGCCAGGUUAAUCCGCCCUGGGUAAGUCGGGACCUAAGGCGAGGCCGACAGGCGUAGUCGAUGGACAACGGGUUGAUAUUCCCGUACCGGCGAACAACCGCCCAAGCUAAUCCAGUGGUGCUAAGAGUCCUAACCCGGAUCAACCGGAUCCCUUCGGGGUGAUGGUGGCCGGUCUAACGCUCGACCCCAUGCUGGUGCGGUUAGCGUAUGAACAGGUGUGACGCAGGAAGGUAGCUGAGCCAGGCGAUGGUAUCCGUAAGGUGAACCUGGUGUAAGGAUGUAGGGCUGACGAUAGGCAAAUCCGUCGUCUGUACGCCUGAGAUCCGACGCGUACCCGUAAGGGGAAAUCAGUGAUCCUAUGCUGCCGAGAAAAGCAUCGACGCGAGGUUGCAGCCGCCCGUACCCGAAA
rnacentral:rRNA from 1 species